AUUUCAGCUUUGGGUGCUGAUGGUGGAGCAAGAGCUUC
rnacentral:tRNA from 1 species